CGAUUCCACGAUUUAAUUUACUUGUUCUUGUUUAACAGCUUGUAUACCUCCGUCAUAAGAGUGUCUUUUUAGAGUAAAUUCUCUUUUUUUUGUUAAUUAUAAAAAUGUCAGGUCAAGGUGCAGCUUAUGAACAAGAGGUGAUGGGUUACAAUAAUAUUAUUUAUAUGGAUAUAUCUUAGGGUUGUAUUGAUAUUGAAGGUGGAUUUGAAGGUAAAAUUAUCUAUUAGAUUUUUUGAUUUUGGCUCUAGAAUAUGCACACAUCGCCCG
rnacentral:rRNA from 1 species